GGCGCUGUGGCUUUGUUGGUUAAAGUGCCUGUCUAGUAAACAGGAGAUCCUGGGUUCAAAUUUCAGCGGUGCCU
rnacentral:tRNA from 1 species